GCUGCAUGGCUCGAGUAUUUUGAAUCAAAAGUCUUAGAACAGCAAGAACCCGCUCGCAGUAGUACUCCAAAACCAGAUGCUUCCAUCGCUAGAAAAGGCCACCUUAGGAUCAGGCUCCCAAGUUACAUCAGCAUUGUCCUUUGGACACGCUGAGGAAUUCUCGCUAGGUGUGAUGGGGUUGCGUUCAGGUCAAUAUCUUCCACUUCCUGUAUAUAACGGGAGAUAGAUUUUGUAAAUGAGCUGGUGAAUACUCUUGGUGUAAAUGGAACCGAAGGUUCCGACUAUAAGGGAGGGAGAAAAGGGACCACUCAGGCAAGUGUCGACAUGUAUGUUAUUCGUGGCGCAUUUAUUUACUGUUUUUCUAGGAACCUCUCUAUCUAUACGCUAUCGUCAUUCAUAUAUGAUUUGGAAAAAUUAAUUUGUGUUGCAUGGUAAAUAGAAAACAUCAAAAGAUUACAUGUUCCCAUAUAAAGGUUACAUAUGGAGUGAAAUGAAAUCAUGUAAAAUUACAUGAAAGUACUAACAUAAUGUACUUUUCAUGACUAAGAAAAUGGACAGCUUA